rnacentral:piRNA from 1 species
GAGGACAACCUGUUAGGAAGCAC